UACGUAGGGUGCAAGCGUUGUCCGGAAUCAUUGGGCGUAAAGCGCGCGUAGGUGGCUUCGUAAGUCCGUUGUGAAAGUCAAAGGCUCAACCUUUGAAUGCCGAUGGAUACUGCGAAGCUAGAGUACGGAAGAGGCGAGUGGAAUUCCUGGUGUAGCGGUGGAAUGCGCAGAUAGUCAGGAGGAACACCGGUGGCGAAGGCGGAUCUCUGGGCCAUUACUGACGCUGAGGAGCGAAAGCGUGGGGAGCGAACAGG
rnacentral:rRNA from 1 species